AGAAAUCAGUUCAGCACUAAGUCACUUUGUCUAUAUGGCAAAUGUGAGAUGCAGUGUAUGGAGCGUCAAUAUUCUAGUAUGAGAAAUUAACGAUUUAAGUCCUUCUUAAAUGAGGCCAUUUACCCAUAGAGGGUGCCAGGCCCGUAUAACGUUAAUGAUUACUAGAUGAUGUUUCCAAAGAGUCGUGUUGCUUGAUAGUGCAGCACUAAGUGGGUGGUAAACUCCAUCUAAAACUAAAUAUAACCAUGAGACCGAUAGUAAACAAGUACCGUGAGGGAAAGUUGAAAAGAACUCUGAAUAGAGAGUUAAACAGUACGUGAAACUGCUUAGAGGUUAAGCCCGAUGAACCUGAAUAUCCGUUAUGGAAAAUUCAUCAUUAAAGUUGUAAUAUUUUAACAAUAUUAUAAUAAUAGUGUGCAUUUUUUCCAUAUAAGGACAUUGUAAUCUAUUAGCAUAUACCAAAUUUAUCAUAAAAUAUGGCUUAUAGUUUAUUCAAAUUAUUAUGCUUGCAUUUUAACAUAGAAUAAAUGUCAUUAAUUUGAUAAAGUGUUGAUAAAUUAAAAUUAAUACAGUGCGUUAAUUUUUCGAAAUUAUAUAAUGGCAUAAUUAUCAUUGAUUUUUGUGUUUAUUAUAUGCAUUUGUAUGAUUAA
rnacentral:rRNA from 1 species